GAUGAAGAACGCAGCGAAAUGCGAUAAGUAGUGUGAAUUGCAGAAUUCAGUGAAUCAUCGAAUCUUUGAACGCACAUUGCGCCCCUUGGAAUUCCAUGGGGCAUGCCUGUUCGAGCGUCAUUUGUACCUUCAAGCUCUGCUUGGUGUUGGGUGUUUGUCUCGCCUCUGCGUGUAGACUCGCCUCAAAACAAUUGGCAGCCGGCGUAUUGAUUUCGGAGUGCAGUACAUCUCGCGCUUUGCACUCAUAAGGACGACGUCCAAAAGUACAUUUUUACACUCUUGACCUCGGAUCAGGUAGGGAUACCCGCUGAACUUAAGCAUAUCAAUAAGCGGAGGA
rnacentral:misc_RNA from 1 species